UACGUAUGGAGCAAGCGUUAUCCGGAUUUACUGGGUGUAAAGGGAGCGUAGGCGGUAAGGCAAGUCUGAUGUGAAAACCCAGGGCUCAACCCUGGGACUGCAUUGGAAACUGUUUAACUGGAGUGUCGGAGAGGCAAGUGGAAUUCCUAGUGUAGCGGUGAAAUGCGUAGAUAUUAGGAGGAACACCAGUGGCGAAGGCGGCUUGCUGGACGAUGACUGACGCUGAGGCUCGAAAGCGUGGGGAGCAAACAGG
rnacentral:rRNA from 1 species